GACGAACGCUGGCGGCGUGCCUAAUACAUGCAAGUUGAGCGCUGAAGGUUGGUACUUGUACCAACUGGAUGAGCAGCGAACGGGUGAGUAACGCGUGGGGAAUCUGCCUUUGAGCGGGGGACAACAUUUGGAAACGAAUGCUAAUACCGCAUAAAAACUUUAAACACAUGUUUUAAGUUUGAAAGAUGCAAUUGCAUCACUCAAAGAUGAUCCCGCGUUGUAUUAGCUAGUUGGUGAGGUAAAGGCUCACCAAGGCGAUGAUACAUAGCCGACCUGAGAGGGUGAUCGGCCACAUUGGGACUGAGACACGGCCCAAAAUCCUACGGGAGGCAGCAGUAGGGAAUCUUCGGCAAUGGACGAAAGUCUGACCGAGCAACGCCGCGUGAGUGAAGAAGGUUUUCGGAUCGUAAAACUCUGUUGGUAGAGAAGAACGUUGGUGAGAGUGGAAAGCUCAUCAAGUGACGGUAACUACCCAGAAAGGGACGGCUAACUACGUG
rnacentral:rRNA from 1 species